rnacentral:rRNA from 1 species
CUCUGACACAGGUGCUGCAUGGCUGUCGUCAGCGUCGUGUCGUGAGAUGUUCGGGUUAAGUCCCGUAACGAGCGCCAACCCUUGUCCUUAGUUACCAGCGACGUUAUGGUGGGCACUCUAAGGAGACUGCCGGUGACAAACCGGAGGAAGUGGGGAUGACGUCAAGUCAUCCAUGGCCCUUACGGCCUGGGCUACACACGUGCUACAAUGGUCGGUACAAAGGGUUGCCAAGCCGCGAGGUGGAGCUAAUCCCAUAAAACCGAUCGUAGUCCGGAUCGCAGUCUGCAACUCGACUGCGUGAAGUCGGAAUCGCUAGUAAUCGUGAAUCAGAAUGUCACGGUGAAUACGUUCCCGGGCCUU